rnacentral:tRNA from 2 species
GCCGGGGUGGCGGAAUUGGCAGACGCGCUAGCUUCAGGAGCUAGUCCAAGCAAUUGGGUGCGGGUUCGAGUCCCGCUCUCGGCA